UACGUAGGGUGCGAGCGUUAAUCGGAAUUACUGGGCGUAAAGCGUGCGUAGGCGGUUCGUUAAGUUCGUUGUGAAAGCCCCGGGCUCAACCUGGGAAUGGCAAUGGAAACUGGCGGGCUUGAGUAUGGCAGAGGGGGGUGGAAUUCCGCGUGUAGCAGUGAAAUGCGUAGAGAUGCGGAGGAACACCGAUGGCGAAGGCAGCCCCCUGGGCCAAUACUGACGCUCAGGCACGAAAGCGUGGGUAGCAAACAGG
rnacentral:rRNA from 1 species